GCCGGGCAUGGUGGCGCAUGCCUGUAGUCCCAGCUACUCGGGAGGCUGAGGCAGGAGAAUCGCUUGAACCUGGGAGGCAGAGGUUGCAAUGAGCCGAGAUCAUUCCACUGUACUCCAGCCUAGGUGACAGAGUGAGAUUUCGUCUCAA
rnacentral:SRP_RNA from 2 species